rnacentral:rRNA from 2 species
GACGAACGCUGGCGGCGUGCCUAAUACAUGCAAGUCGAGCGGACGAAUCGAAAGCUUGCUUUUGAUUCGUUAGCGGCGGACGGGUGAGUAACACGUGGGCAACCUGCCCUGUAGACGGGGAUAACACCGAGAAAUCGGUGCUAAUACCGGAUAACACGAAAUGUCGCAUGACGUUUCGUUGAAAGACGGCGCAAGCUGUCGCUACAGGAUGGGCCCGCGGCGCAUUAGCUAGUUGGUGAGGUAACGGCUCACCAAGGCGACGAUGCGUAGCCGACCUGAGAGGGUGAUCGGCCACACUGGGACUGAGACACGGCCCAGACUCCUACGGGAGGCAGCAGUAGGGAAUCUUCCGCAAUGGACGAAAGUCUGACGGAGCAACGCCGCGUGAGCGAAGAAGGCCUUCGGGUCGUAAAGCUCUGUUGUUAGGGAAGAACAAGUAACGCAGUAACUGGCGUUACCGUGACGGUACCUAACGAGAAAGCCACGGCUAACUACGUGCCAGCAGCCGCGGUAAUACGUAGGUGGCAAGCGUUGUCCGGAAUUAUUGGGCGUAAAGCGCGCGCAGGCGGUUCCUUAAGUCUGAUGUGAAAGCCCACGGCUCAACCGUGGAGGGUCAUUGGAAACUGGGGGACUUGAGUGCAGAAGAGGAGAGCGGAAUUCCACGUGUAGCGGUGAAAUGCGUAGAGAUGUGGAGGAACACCAGUGGCGAAGGCGGCUCUCUGGUCUGUAACUGACGCUGAGGCGCGAAAGCGUGGGGAGCAAACAGG